GCUGUUGUGGCCUAAGUGGUAAGAGCGUUCGCAUUAUAUGCGGGAGGUCGUACGUUCGAACCCCGACAGAGUCA